GCGGCAUUAGCUCAAUUGGCAGAGCAACUGACUCUUAAUCAGUGGGUUCGGGGUUCGAGUCCCUGAUGCCGCACCA
rnacentral:tRNA from 1 species